rnacentral:rRNA from 1 species
AUACGAAGGGGGCUAGCGUUGUUCGGAAUUACUGGGCGUAAAGCGCGCGUAGGCGGACUGAUCAGUUGGGGGUGAAAUCCCAGGGCUUAACCCUGGAACUGCCUCCAAUACUGUCAGUCUUGAGUUCGGGAGAGGUGAGUGGAAUUCCUAGUGUAGAGGUGAAAUUCGUAGAUAUUAGGAAGAACCCCAGUGGCGAAGGCGACUCACUGGCCCGAUACUGACGCUGAGGCGCGAAAGCGUGGGGAGCAAACAGGAUUAGAAACCCUAGUAGUCC